UACAGAGGCCUCAAGCGUUGUUCGGAUUCAUUGGGCGUAAAGGGUGUGUAGGUGGCGCGCUAAGUCGGGUGUGAAAUUUCGGAGCUUAACUCCGAAACUGCAUUCGAUACUGGCGUGCUUGAGGACUGGAGAGGAGACUGGAAUUCAUGGUGUAGCAGUGAAAUGCGUAGAGAUCAUGAGGAAGGCCAGUGGCGAAGGCGGGUCUCUGGACAGUUCCUGACACUGAGACACGAAGGCCAGGGGAGCAAACGGG
rnacentral:rRNA from 1 species